CUUGGUUUUCUCUAUGAAUUCAACUAAUAAUGACAGCAGCACCAUUUAUUGAUAUUUUAUUCUAUUUCAAACAUUAUGUUCCAGACAUUUCAGAAAUGCUACUUCAUUCAAUCUUUUAAAAAUCCUGUAAUACAGAUAUAAACAUACCCUGAAGUCUCCUCUGAUACGUGGCUUUUUCGCUCCUGUAAUUUGUCAAGCAGGAGGGUAGUUCCUCGAGUGGGAGAGAAGGUUACAGCUCUUUUACUCCCACCUCCCACAGUUAGCUUGCUGGGUAAGCCAGUGACGUCACAACUUUUUCGCUCUGGCAGUUGGGCUAACAGGAGAGAGUGGCGUCCAAUGGUUUCUUCUCUCACAUUGUUUGGGGAGCAGAAGGGAAGGUUACAACUCUUUUACUCCCACCAUCCCCAGCUCAGCAAGUUCCAAGUUCUUGUCCUGCAACAAAGGAAUAAGAUAUGUCGACACCAGAAAGUAAAUAAGGCAGAAAAGAAUUUUGAGCUAUAGAAGGAAAACUCCCAGCUGCCAGAGGGGACCUGAAAGCCGGUUAGCCAUCUGUGAGGCUGAGUCCUGGGGGUUUUAUGGGCUUAGAAUGGGGAAGUGCAUGCUGAUUGGUCCAUGGGUGGUAUUGGAAAAAGCACCAUUGGAUUGGUUAAAGGGCAUCAUUCAGAAGGAACCAAUUGAGAGAGAGUGGGUAAGACAGGGAUAGUUCUCACUGCAGCUGUGGACUCUGUCUGGAACUGGCAGCUUGGAUCUCAGGCUUUAAGCUGUCCUUGGUUUGAGGAUCGGGUUUCCUGACUCUGCUUGCCUAGGAGUUUUUCUGUCUCCUGUCACUAUCACAGGCAUUCAUGAUCUCUUAGAUCACAUCACUUCCUAAAGAAGAUAGAACAAAAGACCACUUGAGCACUUCUCCUACCAUUUUCUACACUUCUAAAUGACACCAGCUUUUACAGAUGACAGAUCUCCUUUCAAUUGCAAAACUGUGGAGUUUACACAAUGAAUUAUAUGGCCUCACUUUUAUCAGAUGAAGCUUCAAGAUCAAGUCUCUCUACACCAAAAUCAGCUUUCAGUUUCCAUGGAACCAACUGAUAGAUGCCCCUACCUGAGGCCUGGUGGGUCAGAUAUCUCUAUUCACUUCACCCUUGGAUGACUAUCUUCACCUUUCUAGAGUUCUUAGUCAAGCACAAGCGAAAAGGGGAAACUUCAGUUUUUAUUUGCCAAAAAAAGAGAGAGGAAAAUAUGUCCUUGAAGCAAAGGAGCAAGACUUAGUUAGUUUGAAGCACAUUAAAGAAGACUACAGAGGAGAAGGCAAAAUGUACUUAUUUUAAAAUGUUCUCCAGCUUAGUUGUAUACACAUUUUCUUCACUGUUAUCUAGACUUAACUUUAUUUUAAAAUAUUUCAAGAUAAGACAAAAAUAUAUAAUAACAUAUGGAUACUAAUCAAAUGUUACCAAUACAUUGGAGUCCCCCUCAUCCUCCCAGAUAUAAUACAAUCCCCUCUUGCCACCACACAGGUAAGCACUAUCCUGAAUGUCAAAUUUUUUCUGACAUUUGCUUAUUUCUCUCAAAAUUCUGUAUGUGAGUUAUACCUUUGUUUAUACAUGUAGCACUAUUUUAUUCAUUUUUAUUGCUAUACACUAUAAUUAUGCUAUGAAUUGAAUUAUGUACCCUCUAAUUUCAUAGGUUGAAGUCCUAACCCCCAAUAUGAUUGUAUUUGGAGAUAGAGACUUUAGGAGUUAAAGAAGGUUGUUAGGUCAUAAAGAUGGGGCCCUAAUUCCAUAGAACUAAUAGCUUUAUAAGAAGAGGAACAAAGAGAAGCCUCUUUCUUCAAGCACAUGCACAGGGGGAAGACCAUACAAAAAUAUGAUAACCAUCUAUAAGCGAGUCAGAGAGCUCUCACCAAAAAAACAAAUCAGGCAGAACCUUAAUCUUAGACUUUCAGCCUCCAGAUCUGUGUUAAAAUAAACUUCUGUUGUUAAAGUCACAUUAAGUUUAUGGUAUUUUGCAUGGAAACCUGAGCAGACUAAUUAAAAAAAUUAAUAUCACAUCCUUUCUUCUUAAUGUAUAUCUAAGCAUGCAAUUACAUGUCUAAUAAAGCUUGGUUAAUAGAAAUGUUAUGCAUAGGUACUUGGAAAUGAGAAAAUAUACUCAAUUUUUUAUUUACUAAAUAUUUUUAUUUAUUUAUUUAUUUUGAGACAGGGUCUCAUCCUCUCACCUAGGCUGAAGUGCAGUGGUGUGAUCAUGGCUCACUGAAGCCUCAAUAUCCUGGUCUUAAGCCAUCCUCCCACCUCAGCGUCCUAAGUAGCUGGGACUACAAUCACACACCACCAAGCCCAGCUAAUUUUGUACUUUUUUUGUAGAGACUCAGUCUGGUCUUGAACUCCCAGGCUCAAGUGAUUUUCCUGCCUCGGCCUCCAAAUUGCUUGGAUUACAGGCAUGAACUACUGUGACCGGCCAACUAAAUUAUUUUUAAAAAAAUAAUUGUAC
rnacentral:lncRNA from 1 species